ensembl:lncRNA
AUGCAAAUUACUAAGCUCUGUGUAACUGAGCUCCAACUCUUUUAGGCUGUGCACCCCCUGCAGCAAGGGGCUUUGCACCUGACUCCCUGACUUGGGGCACUGCCAUCAGCGGCUCCUCAUCUUCCAGGAGUGUCGCCAUGACAAGAUGUGAUGUAAGGGGUCUGCCUCCAGGACCUUCCACACUGCACUGAGCAAAACAGCCCCUGGCCACUUCAGGGAAGUAACUUGUUGAUAACAGCAGAUUCCUCAAGACCCUCACAGCUGCACCCCAAGCCUCUGCAGAAAUAUAUGGCUAUAUGUGGCUAACUGUGGUAAAAACUCAC